UCAGGUGACCUGUCCAGGACGUAACCAGGAAGUUCAGACUUCAGACAGCUCACUUCAGAGACAGAGCACUGCUGCUGCGGUGAUGCUCCUAAGCCUCCUGUGCCCUGGCUAGCAUUGGUGCGGCUAAGCCCGGCGGGUUACUAUGACAACGGCGCUGGAGAGUGCACAUCGCUUGACGGUGACAUCAUCAGUCCCCGUCCGGGACCCACUCAUGCUGCGUGGACAAGUCUGUGUGUGGUGUUGUUAUAUAAGACCACCCACCUGGGGCACCCCUGCAACUCCUCUGAGGCACUCCAGGGUACCAAGGCACCCAGUUUGGGAACCACUGUACUAAAGUUUAUAAUGAAGAGAGGAACUGAACAUAAUUGGACUUUACCUAAUGCAGUCGUUUCUCAGGUCUUGGUAUUUCAUUUGUAUGCUGAAACUGUUUAACAUGACCUUUUCUUAAAACCAAGGAACAUUUAAAAACAGAUAUCAAAAUGUAAAGCGUUACGUUAGGACUUCAUAGGGUUAGGGUUCUCAGAUGUGUCUAAAACAUUCAACAUCAGGAAUCAGUACUGUGCUAGUUAUAUCAUUAUGCAGAAUUGCAUUUAGUAUCUGUUCCAGUUUGGAAAUAUUUUUAAAAAGUAUAUACAGUAUGUCUCUUGAAUACAAAUAAAUAUCUAAAACACUAGCACACCAGACUAUAUAUGAUCUAGGAAUAAAGUAAUUCAGCAAAAAGCCAAAAACCAAUUAGGUAUUCGUACAUCCAAAUUUUUGCCUGAUUUAUCAAGCCUUAGAGAGUGAUAAAUUGCACGGUGAUAAAGUACCAGCCAAU